GUGGCUUCGGGCAUGGACGAGUCUGACCGAGCACGCCGCGUGAGCGAUGAAGGCCUUCGGGUCGUAAAGCUCUGUUGUCAGAGAAGAACAAGUACCGGAGUAACUGCCGGUACCUUGACGGUACCUGACCAGAAAGCCACGGCUAACUACGUGCCAGCAGCCGCGGUAAUACGUAGGUGGCAAGCGUUAUCCGGAAUUAUUGGGCGUAAAGCGCGCGCAGGCGGUUCUUUAAGUCUGAUGUGAAAGCCCACGGCUCAACCGUGGAGGGUCAUUGGAAACUGGGGAACUUGAGUGCAGGAGAGAAAAGUGGAAUUCCACGUGUAGCGGUGAAAUGCGUAGAGAUGUGGAGGAACACCAGUGGCGAAGGCGGCUUUUUGGCCUGUAACUGACGCUGAGGCGCGAAAGCGUGGGGAGCAAACAGGAUUAGAUACCCUGGUAGUCCACGCCGUAAACGAUGAGUGCUAGGUGUUGGGGGGUUCCACCCUCAGUGCUGACGUUAACACAUUAAGCACUCCGCCUGGGGAGUACGGCCGCAAGGCUGAAACUCAAAGGAAUUGACGGGGGCCCGCACAAGCAGUGGAGCAUGUGGUUUAAUUCGAAGCAACGCGAAGAACCUUACCAGGUCUUGACAUCCUCUGACCACUUGAGAGAUCAAGCUUUCCCCUUCGGGGGACAGAGUGACAGGUGGUGCAUGGUUGUCGUCAGCUCGUGUCGUGAGAUGUUGGGUUAAGUCCCGCAACGAGGGCAACCGUUGACCUUAGAUGCCAGCCUUAAGUUGGGCACUCUAUAGAGACUGAGGGCGACGUAUGGGAGGAUUGUGCGGAUGACGUCAAAGCUGUC
rnacentral:rRNA from 1 species